GAUCUUGCAACGUCGCUGGAAAAUCAUUCGUCUGAAGUGCUUCCACCGCCAUUGUAAAUCUAGCUUUUGUCACAAAUCAUCUUCUGAUACAUUGUCCGGUUUUUUAUCUUUUAUUACUUAAAUACGUCUUCUCGUAAUUCUUGGGUCCCUAGACACUCUCUGACCAACAAAGAAACUGCCUUUUUCACAUUACUUUUACGAAGUUUUACGUACUCGUACAUUUUGCUGAUUAUAGAAAACAUUUUGCCAUUCACACGAAUGCCUUAGUCUGAUUGGAUCGUGCAAACAUGCCAAGCCGUUCUUGCCACUGGAAGAAGCCUUUUUGUCAAAAUUUUGAAUCAUUCCAUUUAAGUGUUGUAUCUCAUACAAGCAUUCUGGCAUGUGUCAGGCAACGGGGUACAGUAAUCACAGGGUCCCCUUUGGGUGUCUAGUCUGGCUUACACCCUUUGUAAUCAAAACUGUUUGUCCAUGUUAUAGCUUUGGCAUCAUAAAGCUUUGUAUACUCUAUGUUUUGUUUGCUUUAGGUGUUGGAAUGAGUAAUAAUAUGGAGGUGAAUCAUUGAAUUUUGGACUUGAUUUAUCACCUGUUGGUCAAGAUGGAGAAACAACAGGGAUUGGAUUAAAAAAAGUUAUUCCCACACUCAUUCUUGGAAUUUUGGGACGAUCAUUCUUGUCGAUUGGACGUGCUUUGUCUGUUUGUUAGAGUGAAGGUUCCAGAAAGCAGAGUUCCAAGAGUCUGAUUUAGAGGCUGUUCAACACAAUAUAGAUUGUUUAACUUUGUUUUCUUGCCUAGAUUGUGAGAUUGAAUUAAAUUGGAAGUUAAAAGUU